AUUGAACGCUGGCGGCAGGCCUAACACAUGCAAGUCGAACGGUAACAGGAAACAGCUUGCUGUUUCGCUGACGAGUGGCGGACGGGUGAGUAAUGUCUGGGAAACUGCCUGAUGGAGGGGGAUAACUACUGGAAACGGUAGCUAAUACCGCAUAACGUCGCAAGACCAAAGAGGGGGACCCUCGGGCCUCUUGCCAUCGGAUGUGCCCAGAUGGGAUUAGCUUGUUGGUGGGGUAACGGCUCACCAAGGCGACGAUCCCUAGCUGGUCUGAGAGGAUGACCGGCGACACUGGAAGUGAGACACGGACCAGACGCCUACGGGAGGGAGCAGUGGGGAAUAUUGCACAAUGGGGGCAAGCCUGAUGCAGCGGUGCCGAGUGUAUGAAGAAGGCCUUCGGGUUGUAAAGUACUUUCAGCGGGGAGGAAGGGAGUAAAGUUAAUACCUUGGCUCAUUGACGUUACCCGCAGAAGAAGCACCGGCUAACUCCGUG
rnacentral:rRNA from 1 species